rnacentral:lncRNA from 1 species
AGCACUUCCUUGUUGCAGCUCUAGAGAAAACAGUCUGUUAAGAAGUAAGCACUCAGGCCGGGUGCAGUGGCUCAGGCCUAUAAUCCCAACACUUUGGGAGACCAAAGCGAGAGAGGCCAGGAGCUCAAGACCGGCCUGCGCAACAAGGUGAGACCCCCGCCCCCCACAACUCUACAAAAAAAUAAAAUAAUUAGCCAGGUGUGGUAGUGCACACCUGUGGUCCCAGCUACUGGGGAGACUGAGAUGGGAAGAUUACUUGAGCCCGGGGCAGGGUCAAAGCUGCAGUGAGCCAUGACUGCCACUGCACUCCAGCCUAGGUGACAGAAUGAGACCUUGUCUUAAAAUGUUAAAAAAAAAAAAAAAAAGUAAGAAGUACUCAACGUUAUACCUACCAAAGAAAAGCCAUAGGUGAUGGGAAGGAGGAAGUAAAAGGAAAUCUAUAUUGGGAAAGAGAGUAGCGGGUAGGGCAUUACCAAUCAUAACAAGCUAAUAACUCCCCUGCACAUAGGGAAAGGAAACAGCAGCUCUGAGAACACGGAGAUGGAAAAUGGAAAUCAUGCUUUCUCUAUGUUUAUCUCUAAAAGUUUCAUUUGAAUACACAGGCUGGGACAGACGGAAGAGGAAGAAAGCAGGGGUGUCCGGGAGGUACUUCCAGAAUGAUUUGCUCUUAUUCUCUACCUCAAUCUUGAAGGAAUUCAAGAAGAUAUCCAUGUUUUUAAAAUCUAAGAUAACUACUGCUCUUUUCAUUCUAACAUGUGAGUGUACGUUUUAAUAUCAUGUGAAUGCAUAAUAGUGAAUAAAGCUAAUGAACUAAUUUCA